rnacentral:rRNA from 1 species
AUCAACUUUCGAUGGUAGGAUAGAGGCCUACCAUGGUGGUAACGGGUAACGGGGUGUUAGGGCACGACACCGGAGAGGGAGCCUGAGAAACGGCUACCACAUCCAAGGAUGGCAGCAGGCGCGCAAAUUACCCAAUCCCGACACGGGGAGGUAGUGACAAUAAAUAACAAUACGGGGUUCUUUAGGAUCUCGUAAUUGGAAUGAGUACAAUUUAAAUCUCUUAACGAGGAACAAUUGGAGGGCAAGUCUGGUGCCAGCAGCCGCGGUAAUUCCAGCUCCAAUAGCGUAUAUUAAAGUUGUUGCAGUUAAAAAGCUCGUAGUUGAAUUUCGGGGUCAGUAGGUUGGUCGUGCCACCGGUACGUACUGGUCUCACUGAUUCCUCCUUCCUGAUGAGCUGUAAUGCCAUUAAUUUGGUGUUGCAGGGAAUCUGGACUGUUACUUUGAAAAAAUUAGAGUGUUUAAAGCAGGCUAACGCUUGAAUACAUUAGCAUGGAAUAAUGAAAUAGGACGUUCGAUCCUAUUUUGUUGGUUUCUAGGAUUGACGUAAUGAUUAGUAGGGAUAGUUGGGGGCAUUAGUAUUCAAUUGUCAGAGGUGAAAUUCUUGGAUUUAUUGAAGACUAACUACUGCGAAAGCAUUUGCCAAGGAUGUUUUCAUUAAUCAAGAACGAAAGUUAGGGGAUCGAAGACGAUCAGAUACCGUCGUAGUCUUAACCAUAAACUAUGCCGACUAGGAAUCAGACGAUGUUAAUUUUUUAACGACUCGUUUGGCACCUUACGGGAAACCAAAGUGUUUGGGUUC